rnacentral:tRNA from 1 species
GCGCCUGUAGCUCAGACGGAUAGAGCAACGGACUUCUAAUCCGUAGGUCGCUGGUUCGAAUCCAGCCAGGCGUG